UGGAUCUACUGGUUUCUCGGAAAACCUCCAGGGCAGAUGUCCCAGCACUGAGGCCAGAUGUUCACAGCUGGGCAGCUCCGGCCGCCCUCAGUCCCUCCCUGUGUUUUCUGCUGGGACUUCAGGCCCCAGGGAAAGGGGCCGAGUUCAGGAUUUUCAAAGUCCUGUCAAUCAGCCCUCAGUCAGUCCCGAGGCAGGAAAGGGCGCCCCAGCCUCCUGCUGGUCUCAUUGCCCCUCAGGUCACCGGGGAGUUAGGUAUGUGUGAGAAAACUCCCUGUGGGGCGGCCCCCCAACCAGCCGCACCCAGGGGACCCUCCGCCCCCAUCCUUCCUCCCCCAGAGGGUGAAUCUGAGAUCCAGUAGGGUAAGCGGAGAAAGUGGGAACAAAGGGAAGGAAAGUCAUUUCCUGUCAAGAGGAAGGAGGCAGCGAUCCAGCCAGGAACUCACCCAGCCCAGCUUUAGGCUGCUGCCAGAGCAGGGGACUGGCUGGCUGAGCAGGGACUCCCAGGAGUGUCCCCCAACACUGUCCCCUUCCUACUCUUUCUAACACCCCCAACUCUGGAACCACCUGUAAACUUUGUUCUUUACUACUUCGGUAAAGCCCUCUCCAUGCUUUGCUGGAGGUGGGAGUGAGACACGGCCGCCCCCAGCCCGGAGCCCCAGCAGCCGUGAAUAAGGGAUCCCUCUCCCUUUCUCCCACCCCAGGGAAGCAGAGGAGGCACACGGAGCUGAGUUCGCACGGGCGACCUCCUCCCUGCUGGGUGGCCUGGGGUAGGUCACUGAAUCUCUCUGGGCCUCAAGUGUUUUCACAGAGUGGGACUAAUGAGGGACUAAUGUCCUGAAGGCCGGCUGGCUGAGAGGACAAAAGGAGAGAAGGUGCUCAGGACCUCGGUUUGUGGUCACCCGGGUUGGUGGCCCCACCUGCCCUGGGGAGGUGGGGUACUCACACCUGAGUCUGGGCUGGGAUCUCCCAGGGUCCUAAGAGUCUGGUGGACUUGCGCUCCCCAGAAAUUCACUCACCAAGUGACCCUGCCACUCUGCAGCAGUGACAGCAGCUGCAGCCGCUGCCCCCACAGAGGCUUCCUUGUGCGGAGGCCUGGCCUGCAGGCCCUCCGUUUGCCCCCCAGGAGAGCCCUGUGCUGCAGAGCUGAUCAUUCCUGCUCCACAGACGAACAAACAGGAGCGGAGGGGCCCGAGGCCACAGAAGGAGCAAGUGCAAGAGCUGGAUUCACUGCUCUUCUGAUCCCAGAGGCCUGGGACUGUCACUCUUCCCAGAUGCAAAAGCUGAGUCUCAGAGAGGUGCCGCGUUCGACGUGGCUGGGGGAGACUCAAACCCCUGGUCAGGCUCAUUCCUGGCUUGGAAACAGUGUCUCCCCCUUCACAGCAGUGCUUGCAGCCAGAUUUCCCUCCACCGCACCUCCCCCAGGAGGAAGGAGGGAACCACUGACCGCCAGAGCAGGAAGAUGCCAUUCAGGGGUUUUCGGAUGCUUUCCGCUGUCGAACCCCCCAGUGCUUUGUGAUCCAGAAGCUAACUUAAAACAGACAGA